GACGAACGCUGGCGGCGUGCCUAAUACAUGCAAGUCGAGCGGACUUUCAAGAAGCUUGCUUUUUGAAAGUUAGCGACGGACGGGUGAGUAACACGUGGGCAACCUGCCUGCAAGACGGGGAUAACUCCGGGAAACCGGGGCUAAUACCGGAUAAUAUCUUCCUUCGCAUGAAGGAAGGUUGAAAGGCGGCGCAAGCUGCCGCUUGCAGAUGGGCCCGCGGCGCAUUAGCUAGUUGGUGAGGUAACGGCUCACCAAGGCGACGAUGCGUAGCCGACCUGAGAGGGUGAUCGGCCACACUGGGACUGAGACACGGCCCAGACUCCUACGGGAGGCAGCAGUAGGGAAUCUUCCGCAAUGGACGAAAGUCUGACGGAGCAACGCCGCGUGAGCGAAGAAGGUCUUCGGAUCGUAAAGCUCUGUUGUCAGGGAAGAACAAGUACCGUUCGAACAGGGCGGUACCUUGACGGUACCUGACCAGAAAGCCACGGCUAACUACGUG
rnacentral:rRNA from 1 species